UUGUCCUUUGUGAUGCUUGACAAUAGUCAAAGCCGUAAAUCCCCCUUGGGUACUUUCAGAGCUACCCAUCUUAAAACUUGUAAGGGUUAAUUACUUCCUUACACAAGACAAACUGUACAAAAACAGUGUAUUUACACUUAGGACCCGCUGCAGUGGAAUUUUCAGUUUUGUCUUCUAAACACAGAUCAGGAGAUCUGCCCUUGGAG